CAAGAAACGAGGCCGCGUGCGCUCGCCCGCCCGGCCCCGCUCCUUACCUUGCCUACUGCACCGUUUGUUGCUUCCUGGCGGCGGACUGCCCGCCGCCAGGGACGUUGAUACAACCCUGUAUAGAAGCAUUGAAGCUCUGGGAAAACGCGAAAUCGUA
rnacentral:misc_RNA from 1 species